rnacentral:rRNA from 1 species
AGUGAACGCUGGCGGCAGGCCUAACACAUGCAAGUCGAGCGGCAGCGCGUCCGACCACCCUCGGGUGGUCGGAUGGCGGCGAGCGGCGGACGGGUGAGGAAUGCAUCGGAAUCUGCCUCGUUGUGGGGGAUAACGUAGGGAAACUUACGCUAAUACCGCAUACGACCUACGGGUGAAAGUGGGGGACCUUCGGGCCUCACGCGAUGAGAUGAGCCGAUGCCGGAUUAGCUAGUUGGCGGGGUAAAGGCCCACCAAGGCGACGAUCCGUAGCUGGUCUGAGAGGAUGAUCAGCCACACUGGAACUGAGACACGGUCCAAACUCCUACGGGAGGCAGCAGUGGGGAAUAUUGGACAAUGGGGGCAACCCUGAUCCAGCCAUGCCGCGUGAGUGAAGAAGGCCCUCGGGUUGUAAAGCUCUUUUGUCCGGAAAGAAAGCAAUCGGUUAAUACCCGGUUGUUCUGACGGUACCGGAAGAAUAAGCACCGGCUAACUUCGUGCCAGCAGCCG